rnacentral:lncRNA from 1 species
UGCCAAUAUUCUCUACAAUUAAUUUUACAAUACAAAACACAGUUAAAGAUACUAGUAAAAGUAAUUUUACCGAAAAACUAUGUCAUUAGCAGCUUUAUAACUCCCACAUCAAUCAGAUCAUUCUGUUCCUCUCUGUGAUAGUGCUAUCUAAAUAAGAAUAUCUUUAAAAUAAAAAAACCCUCCGGAAAAUCACAGAAAGAAAUUUCGGUUUCAACUAAAAUUCUAUAUAUAGAUUAUAUAUACAUAUAUAUAGAAUAUCUUGCAGACAGAGAAACAGAGACAGCAGCCAAGUGAUUACAGAAGAAGAACAUAAGCAGGUGAAAUUCUGAUAUCCUAUCUCAUAUAAUAUAUGCAAAUCGAAAUCUUUGUAGAUGGAGAAACAUAGAGGAAGUGAUUUAACAAAAGUGAGAAUACGAGCAUCUGGAGAAAAUCUUGUCUCCGUAGCUUAGAGAAAAUUUAAACCAGAGAAUCUCAGAAAACACUUCUAACUCUACUGAAAUGCUCACACAGAAAGUACACAUCGAAUUCUGUAUAUAUCGAGAAACAGAGAAACGAAGUGACUAACAGAGUGAGAAUAUGAACACCUGGAGAGACUCCUCCCUGUAGCUUAUAGCAAACUAAAGAAAAAAAAUCUGAAAAAACAAUUUCAAGUUCUACUGAACUUCUAAUUUCUUACACACACAACAUAUCUGGAUUUUGUAUAGAUCGAGAAACAGAGAAUCGAAGUGAUUAACAGAGUGAUAAAACGAACAUCUGGAGAAAUCUCUAUAGCAUAUGCCGUUUUGAAGAAGAAAAUGUCAGAAAACAAUUUCGAACGCUUCUGUUAUUUUUAAAUACGCAAUAUACAAUGGAUUCAGAAACAGAAAACCGACGUGAUCAACAGAGUGACCAAAUGAACGACCUGGAGAGAAUCUACCUCCCCAUAGCUUAUAACAAACUAAAGGAAAAAUUCUGAAGGAACAAUUUCGAAUUCUACCGAAAUUCUAAUUUCUUACACACACCAUAUAUUAGGUUCAGUAUAGAUCGAGAAACGGAGAAUCGAAGUGAUUAACAGAGUGAGAAAAUGAAAAUCUGGAGAAAUCUCCAUAGCUUAUAGCAAUUUAAAGAAGAAAAAGUCAAAAAACAAUUUCAAACUCUACUGAAAUUCUUACACACACAACAUAUACGGGAUUCAGAAACAGAGAAGCAAAGUGAUUAACAGAGUGAGAAAAUAAACAUCUGGAGAAAUCUUCAGAGCUUAUAGCGAUUUAGAAAAGAAAGUCAAAAAACCAAUUUCAAACUCUACUGAAAUUCUAACACACACACAACAUAUCGGAUUCAUAGACAGAGAAACAAAGCGAUUAACAGAGCGAGAAUAUGAACACCUUGAGAAAAAAAAUAGAUGGAGACAGAGAGAGCGAAACACAAUACCUUCGCCACAGCCGAGCUUGGUGCCCUUAAAGCGAGUGCGCGAACGCAGGAACUCGAGCAAAGUUGUGGAAGGAUCAACACUGGAGAGCUCAAACCUCUCACCAUUAAUGGAAAACAAGAGAUUGUUAUCUUUGCCGGUUGCCGCUUCAGAUUCGCUUCCCAUUUUUUUUGUGCGUCGGGAAUUGAAUCCAGAAUGUGCUGGUAUUUUUCCAGUAAAAAGCAGAGCUGAUAAAUGGUGAAUGUUGCCAGCGUCAACGUACGUGACGACGAAUCCUGUCCGCUCUCGUUGAUUGGAUCAAAUGGAAAAUUGAAGUAGUUUUUAUAGAGCGAGGGGAAUCACUAGAGUUACUGUCUGUCUGUCACCGGCACAAGUUUGUCUUCUUCCAUCUGGAAUCUAACAGGUAAGAAUCGAAUAGGACUAAGAACAGAAUAAGAGAAGGAUUCUUUUUAGUGUAGAAAACAUCCAAAUUGAUGAAAUUAUUAUUAUUUUUUAAAAAAAAUAUUAUUUCAAUUAAAAAAUUAAAACGCUUACUAAAUAUAAUAUCCCGAAUCUCAAUAACGAAGCACAAACGCACUCAUAUCACUUUCCAAUUAAUAAGACCCGUAAUUCAUACAUACGCGUAACUUAAAAAUUUAAUACAAAAUAAAACCAUCUCUUGUUAUAUAAACUCUAAUAUCGAUGAAUACGGAUGUUUGCACAAUAUUUUCGUAAUUAAAAUUCAAGUUGUUACAUUAAAAAUUAACAGAAAUUAUAUUUUUUUAAUUCAUUCUAGUUCGAUUUAAAUAUUAAAUUAAAAUAAACUGAAUUUUUAAUCGAGUCUAAAUUAAAAAAUAAAUAUUAUUAAUUACAUGUUUGGUAAUGUAUAGUUAAGAGAAUAAAUUAUUAGAUAAUUUAUUUUUAUUUAUUUAUAAGUAUCCUAAAUUAUGAUUUGUAAGUAAAUUAUUCAACUGUUUAUUUAUAAAUAAGUUAUUUAAUUAUUUACUCUUAACUAAAAUGGAAUGAAUUUACAAAAAUAAAAUAAAAUAAAGUUGUGUGAUUUACUAUUAAAACCAUCUUUACAUAUUUAUAUUGUUUCUUGGGUGAAUUUUUUUGUAGUAUCUCUGAAUUAUUAAAAAAAAUAAAAAAAAAAAGAAAUUAAAGAAUUUUCACUGAAAUUUGGGAAGAUAAUUUGUUCCAUUAUUUUUUUUUCUCUCAAUUUUCUAAAUUCUUUUUUUUUAAAUGAAUUUUUAAUAUAUUUUUUUAAAAAAAUACCGAUUAUAUUUAAAAAUAAUUUUAAUCACCCGAUUAUAUAUAUUUUAUGUGUACAUUUUCUCUACUCAUUAUUUUGAAAAAGGAGCACCUUACAUUCUUGAAUCGAUAGCUAUUUUUUUGACUAAUUUAGUCUUCUCUAUCUCUCGGGACCAAUAAGAAUAGUAUAUGAAUAUUUAUUUAUUAUCUAUCGAUUACGCCUUUCAGUUUGAUUUUGGACCCUAAUUCAUCUUCUGUUGAUGAAUAUAUAAAAAAUCCUUGGAUUUUUGGGGGCAUUGGAUUCUCAUCAAUAUUUGCGUUAUUCAAGUUGCUUUUGCCUAAGACAAAACACUCCUCUGCCAAUGCAUUUUUACACCCCCACAACUUUGACAUAUUACUUAGCUUUGUUUAUCUUCUACGCAAGAACACUCGAUCUGUGAAUUAUUACAUAUUCUUUUAAGAGUGAUUAUUUCUAAACAAAUUUUCUAACUGUUUUUACGCUCCUACCUCUUUUAUUACUGGGCAAUCAUUAAGGGUAUUAAUUAGUGAUCCGUGUUAUUUUCCUCUCAACGAUGAAGCUUAUCCUUCAUUGUCUCACUGACCGAUCUUGACUCUUGUUAUUUUGAGGUCAUAUAUUUUUUUUAGGUACUUUUCAAAGAUUAUUUUAAAAUCUCUUAGCCUCAUUCAUCUUCUACACAUUUUUUUAAUAGUGGUUGUUUAUACACAAACCUCUUAACUGUUUAUGCAUCAUCACAUCCUUUAUUACUAAGCAGUCAUUUAGGGAUCUUAACUGAUGAUGCAGAUUGUUUUCUUUCAACAAUAAAGUUUAUUUCUCAUCAUUUUACUGAAUUGAUUUCUGUUAUUUUAAUAUUAUAUAUUUUUUUAGACUUUUUUGACUAAAUUUAAGUAUAAAAAUCAAAUUCUAAAAUUUAAUUAUUUUAAGACUUAGGCUACUUUUUUAAAAGAUAAUUUAGUCAAAGUUAUUUUAUUCGCAUUAAAAUUAAAAAAUUUAUUAAAAAAUUAUAAAAAUCGUAAUCCAAUCUGUACUUCAAAAAAUUAAGACUAAAAUACAAAAAAAAAAUAUAUUUCUCAAUAAUCAAAGGUAUUUUAUUCGCAUCAAAAUUAAAAAAUUUAUUAAAAAAUUAUAAAAAUCGUAAUCCAAUCUGUACUUCAAAAAAUUAAGACUAAAAUACAAAAAAAAAAAUAUUUCUCAAUAAUUUAUGUAUAGACAAAUAGAUGGAAAAAUAAUUGAAGAAAGUAAGUAAACAGAUGACGUAAGAACAGCAGUCAUCAUUGACUAAAAAAUCUAAGUCAACAAUUAGAAAUGGUUAAUUAUGUAUAAAUUUUAUUUAAAAAUUAUUAAAAUCAUAUUAUAUACAUUAUUAUUUUUUGUACUCAUAUUUACGUAGUUGAUUAUCAAUUUGAUACAUAUAAAUAUUUAUUAAUAUUAUAAAUUAAAAAAUAGAGUAAAUUUUAAUCUAAUAUUUUGUUUUUGAAAAUUUUCAAUUUAGGAAUUUAUAAAUAAAAGUUCCACUCAUGCCUUAAAUUUUAUUAAAAAAAUUUAUAAAAAUAUUUAAUUUUCUUCUAAUAAUACAAAAUAUUUAAUUUAAUUUUUAAAAUUUUAAAAUUAAAAUUAAAAAUCAUUUAAAUUAAAACUUUUUUUCAUUUAUACGAUAUUUCUAUCUUCAAAUCGUUGAAAUUGACAUUUAAAAUAUGUAUAAUUUUAUUUUUCAUCUUUUAGAAUAAGUCCGGUAUAUAUUUCGUGUCUAAAUUCUUUUGGUCAGGAUUCUCUUGCGUACAUCAACAAAAGAUUAACCAGAAAAUACAAAAACCAGUCUUCUAAAAUCUACCCUAUUUUUAUCAAAAAGGGUUUGAGGAUAAGACCAUGUUUGGAAUUACCCAAAAACUCAAUUUGUAGAUUUUUUUCAGGUGUCUAAUAACUAAAAUAAGUGCAAUAUUUUAAGUGAUUUUUCACAAGUAAAAUUUAUUAUUCCAAACACAGCCUAACCAAAGGAGCCGUAUGAUAAGCAGAUAACAAAUUCAGAUUCCAGAGAAUUGGAUUUCUUCAGCUUCUACCAAUUUUCCACUUCAAGUAGGUUUCCACAUUUUCUAGCCCACAUAGCUGCUUUACAACUGGCAUGGUGGCAGGGACGGGUAAAUCAAAUGUUGAAUCAAGUCCCUCGAAGCUGCUGCUCCAUGAACGAAGCUGUUUUCGAGCUUCUUUAAUAGCUACUCUCGUUGCACAGUGAACCGAAGCUGCUAGAAGCAAUGGAGGCUCACCGGAAGCUGAAAAAUAAAAACAUAGUAUUCAACGAUCAACCUUGGUGUUUGUGAGUUUUUCCACCAUUCACAAUUUUGCUUUCUCUUUAAUCGAUAUUGCUAUGUUAGAAGUUUACAUCUUCUCAUGCACACCGAUUAUUGUUCAAAUAUUUACAUAUUGUUUUGAUUAUCGAGAUGUGAUAUUCCUAACCUGGUUUUGAUAUCAACUCACGUAAGACAAUAAGAGUUUAAGAUAAAACUUAGAGAAGUUUUAUUAAGAAUCAAACUUAGAGAUCUCGGAUUUCAAUAAGCAAAGCAAUAUCCCAAUAUUUAGAUAGUAAUCAUAAAUGGUUAUUUAAUAACUAAGGUGGAGUACUUUGUUUAUAAACUAAAAUAGAAUCGAAAUAGAAAUUCUUAAAAUCUAUCUAAGAAUUAUACGAAGUAGGAAAAUAAACUAAUUAAAUAGAAUAACUUAUAGUAGAAAAUAACUAAAUAGAAAAUAAUAAAUCAAUUCUAAUCGGAUACUAGUUCCUAAAUAACCUAGAUAAUUUAAUAAUGCAUAAACAUUACAAUUAUAUAAAUAUAUUUCAUUAUAGAAUUAUGUUCAUUAAAGGUAAAGAUCCCCCGGUUUUGUAUCAAUAAAUCACACGACAAAAACUUUCAUCAAAAGCAAUAAGAACCGUAUUGAUUAAAUUAACAUAAACUCUCAUGUAUGUCAAUGCAAAAUACCUUUUGAAGAGAGGACACAUUUCUGGUGAUUUCCACUAUUCAGUAAUUCAACAUUGAACUGCCUAGGUAUGGUAUCCACGGUAGGAAUUUUAUACUUCCAUGUGCCUUCAGGAACGACUAGUCCAUCUGAGUUUGUGAUAUAUUCUUCAAGCAUAAAAAAUCCGAUUCCUUGGACAAAAGCACCUUCAACCUGCACAAGGAAACUUUUAACAUAAAACAAUCUAGGAUAAUUUAAUUUGAUAUUUGAGAUGAAAAUGUUAGCGGUAGAACCCUGUCCUCAGCAUGCAUUAUCUUAGCAUGCUUGAACUGCAAAGCUGGCGAGAAACAAACGACAACAACAUCAAAAUUUUGAGUUAAGCCGGAAGAUACGCCAAAUUUAUCAUUCUUACCUGUCCUAGAUCCACAGCUGGAUUAAGGCUUUUGCCACAAUCAUAAAUGAUAUCUGCUUGCAAAAUCGUGACUGCUCCUGUCAAAAGGUCUAGUUCUACCUGUUCAUGAUGUCGUAGCUUCACAUUUAGUUCUUUCUGAAGGAUAUUUGAUAUGAAAAGGUUGUUUUUUCUAAAGUAGUGUAACAAGAAUCAGUGGCGUUGACCAUGUUCAAUAAGUGAGCUCCAAAUUUAAUUGAUAGAAAGAAAUUUUGAUGUCCAAACAAUAACUAAAACGAAGCAACAUUAAUCAAAUACCAAAACUUACCUCACUCACGGCAGCACCAUAGUUUAGGUAUGCCUUGGAAUUAAUUUCUGGAACAUAGUAAGAACUUGCCGAUAAAUUAGUGCUCUGUGCAUAUGCCUGCAUAAUGAUAGAUAAUACGAGUAAAAUCACAAAGUUCACCUUAGCCUCGUCAAGAAUACAUAUACCAAAAUGAUGGACGUUAGAACCUGUAGACAUUGAUAUUGUUAGAAUACAAUAUAUAUAUCCCUGUAACCCAUGAUUGGGCCUGCUUCUCCACACCCAUGGGCAAUCCACUUGCAUAUGAGGGAAAACAUUAAAAACUCAGAAUAAAAUAAGUGGGGUUUUCUUGUUUGCUUGACCUUGUGAGUACUAUUAGUCAUCUCACUUUAUUAUUUAAUAUUGUUUCAAAGGUUAAGGUAUUGAGCUCAAACUGUCUGAAUCUCAUUCAUGUAGGACAGAAAGUUUUAACACAAAAUUAAAAAGAAAAAUCAACAAAAAAUUGAGAGGCAUCAAAUUUCAAAUCAUCUCAAUUUCUCAAUAAUGUGAGAAUUAUACAUCUGCUUCAAGUUCAUAGGCCAACAGUUUUAUAACAUCUGCUCAUCCUCAAGAUUUUAAAUUAUCUACCAGAUCCAGUAAACUAAGUCUGAGUUUUCUAGAUAUGCAAUCUUAUUGAAUUAUAAUUGAAAUAGAAUAAAGUAUUGUAAGGUUUAUAACUUAUUGAAUCAUAAAUAAGGAAAGAGGGUUGGAUUAACCCCGAAAAAAGUGAUCCAAAAAUGGAUUUGACCUAAAGUUUCAGGGUAUGUCCGACCAAAGAUUUUACCCACAUAAUAGUGAAAUCCUGCAAAUAAAGCAAAAAUGGCUCCAUAGAAAGUACAUCAUGGAAAUGUGCAACCACAUAAUAAGUAUCAUGGAGAGCAAUGUCUAGCCCAGAAUUUGCUGGGACUAUUCCAGUGAGUCCUCCUAUGGCAAACAAAAAGAUGAACCCUAAGCAAAUAACACAGGUGUUUUGUAUUGUAUUAAUGUCCCAUGAAGAACUUGUGCAGUAUUUAUAAGGUAAUGGGACAGAGCCUAAAAAUAGAAUAUGCUAACCCAAAAAGAAAACUAACAAAGUGGCAAAAACAUAAUAUGGAAGCUUUAUUACAAUAGCCUGCUAAUUAUAUUGUAACAAUAAUCCAUAAUUAAACAGACAAUAGCAAGAUUUGUGACCAAACUAAUACAAGUUCAUUGGUACAUCUACUAAGUAUGAAGUAAGGGUAAUGCAUCAGACGAUGGGAACUUAAGGGCUUCCAGUCCCUCAGUUAAGAAAUUAAUGAAGUAUGCUAGAGAGUUCAGAAGUUUAAAUGAAAUACCUGUCUGAUCAAGGUGUCCCAAUUUACAGCACCGACUUCCUUUAGCAAUUUUUCCUUGAGAGGGAGAAGCCUCUCAACCAAGAUAUUGCAACAAAGUCUAAUGGCUUCACAGCAUGACUCAGAUGCUGUGCUUCCACCAGUAAUACCCCCUUGAAUCAUGCUUAAUGUAUCUGCUUGUACAACCCGUACUUUGUCUAACAGGUGGUUUUCUAUUGCAUCACAUUGGAUCAAACUGAGUCCAUAGGCAGCCAUUUGUUUUACUUUGGUCCAGAGUCCUUGGCCAAUUUCAAUGCCUCCCACCUCAACAACAACUGACCCAUCACUUAGAAUGCUUACCUUGCCUGGUUUGUUAAACUUUUUGACUUCAUGCACAAUGGGUACUCGAGAAAUACCUCUUUUUUGCCAUAUAUUGCACCUAUUGAACUCUUUGAUCAUUUCAGUCCUUUCGCUGAAGCUUGAAGACAUGGCCAAUUUAUCCCAUAUGCAAGGUAAAGUAUACUCCUGGAAUUCGCCAGCACUACCCUCAUAAAAUAUUUUAAGGCUGUCGAAUGUGUGGAGAUUAAUUUUUCUAACAGAAUCUACCUCAAUGGAAAGGGUAGAUGCAACAUGUUCAAUAACAGCUUCAGCAAUAUAUGAUCCCUGUAGCUCCCCAGGAGCUCGCAUUGUUGAUCUGCCUGGAAGGUUUGUUUUGCACACCUUUAUGUCAAAAGAUAGAGCACCCCAGUUAUAUUUUUUAAGUGCAUUUAUAAUGUUAUGUGGCAUAAGAAUUGGACUUAUAAUGGCAGCCAUCCCUGCAUCGAUUAAUAUAUCAAGUUUUAAAGCCGUAAUUUUUCCAUCAGAUCUGAAUCCCACACUGUAAGUUAUUUUCAUGGGAUGUCUUCCUCCUGCCAUUAUCAUAUCAGUUUUACGAUUGACAUAUAUCCUGACUGGACGCCGUAAUUUGUGUGCAGCCACUGCACAUGCUACAGCUACCUGAAAUCAUGUUCUGAGUUAUAAUAGUUUCACCAGGUAGAUUAUAAAAAUGAUAGAAAAGCUACAAUUUGUUCUAUCCUAUUCUAUUCUCAUUUAAAUCCUAUAUUUUAAUUACUUAACAUGUAAAAGUUAGUCAUAAUUUACAUAUUUGAUACAUAAUUAAAUUAACUUCAUUCAUAUCUUCAGUUCACAACUAUGAAUUUUGUAUUCCCAUCUAUUAAGCAAAAAAUCAUAAAGCCACCUAUUUUGAGUUCAUCUUGGAAUUAUAAUACAAUUUUUUAUUUAAAUUUGUAUGUUAUUUUCAUUUCUAUUUCAUAAAUUACAAUUUGAACUAAACUUAAUGAAAUAGUUGAAAAAUGACUAAAAGGUUUCAAACUAAUGAAAAAAUAAAAGAAAAUCAUUUAUGCAUUUUAUAUGGUUACAAGAUAUCACGUGUAAAAUAUGUGUAUUGGAGGAAAACUUGCCUUCAGUAGUCUAUAAAGGACAAGAUAAUAGGGAACUAGGAGAAGUAUAAUAGGCAAGACUGGGAAAGGACCAUAAUUUUAGACUACAAAAUUUUUAUAUUCGAAUACAGGGUCAACCACCAUUGGCUCAGCAAAAUUUUAGACUCAAAUUAUACCCCAAAUGUUUAAGGAAAAGCUGCUAAAACUGAUCGACUUGAACCUUUAUAUGUGAUCGUUGGCUUCAUUAAUCACAUUGUACCUCAUGGAGCUAAGUAAAAGAGGGAACUGAGAGACCUUGUGGAGGCUGGUGAGAACAGAGGCUAGAGGCUGGGAUUCAACAUGAAGUCUAGACUGGUGGAUCUGAACUGUGAUGUGGCAAUGGCUGUCCAGUGUAGGACAACUUGCACUGAUGUAGCACCACGAAAUAGAUAAAUAGAAAAACAGGUAGAAACAGAAAAUGUAGUCCACAAUUCAAACCACAAUAACAAGGUUGGUAAGCACUCAAUAAUGAGACUAUAUCUGAAGUGAGACCAGCAGGUGAAGUCUAGGUAGUAGUAUGUUCAAAAGUAUUAUGUAUUCUAAAGAUCAUUAAAUCAAAGAAAUCUUCCCUCUACUUCUUCCAUUAAACAAACAAACAAAGAGGAAAGCUAUUGAUAUUUUCUCAAAUACCUUACGCAGCAACUAGUAGGUUUGGUUUGGAGUUCUUUUAGAAGGCUCUAGGAGGGUAUCUUAUAAUCCAUCAUUGUAAUUUUUCUUUUCUGGUCCUUAAUAAUAUUUCUUUCUACUGAAAAAAGAAUAACUAGUAGGUUUGGUCGAAGACAAAACCAAGUGUGUGUACCUAUCUAAUCUAAAUGAAGACAAGCCCUUGUUGGCCUUUUGUUUUUUCAGAGGCCUUACAUAGGGCUUCCAACUUCUCGGACUGGACUAGGACCAGAAGUAUUAACAAGGAAUGCAGUGCCACUGCAUUCGACUACGCGGCCAAAUACAAGUUCUUAGUUACAUACAACUUAAGGAAGAACCUAUAACUUCCGUAAAUCUGUAGAAAAAUAAAUAUCCAUUGAUGAGGUUUUAAUUUUAUAAGUCAAAUUUAUGGCAAACUAACUCGACUUAUUUCACCAGGAGCCAAGAAGUCGGUGGCAUCUAUUCUCAUAACUGGAGGGGUUACCAGGGCAAACAGAAAAGUCAGCUAUUUAUUUUAGAAAUGUACAAAUACACGCAGAAUGAUACUCACAGGUAUGGACUUCAAGGCCUUUCCACCAAACCCUCCUCCCACUCUCCUUGUAAUCACCCGAACAUUAUGUUCAGGAACACCAAGACAUCUAGCAAUUGUCGUCUGUACAAAUUGAGGAGAUUGAGUUGAACUACAAACCACUAUACAGUUAUCUUCAUCUGGUACAGCAAGGGCAGUUUGUGUUUCCAUAUAGAAAUAAUAUUGUGAACCAAGUCUGAUCUGGAAAAGAUAAACCAGCCAAACAUGAGGACGAACUUGCAAAACAUGAAAACAAGUUCGUACGAAAAAAAAGGGAUAUAGAUGAUCAAGAAAUGAUAUGAAUGUAAAACCAAUAAAGUCUUGAACAAGCAGUAAAACAAGAGCUAUAUAGUAAAUAUAUUGAAAAACUGAUUGAUCGAAUAUCUCUUUGAAUUAUCUAAUUGUUACUGUUUAUAAAUAGUUGUUACCGGACCAAGAGACUACCCAGAAGAGAGCUGAAAGAAGGCUGAGGUUUAAAGAGAAGAGACCCUAGAAAAGAAGACCUGAAAUCUAGAGCUAAAGAGACAGAUUGAAUGCUGAACUACCUCGGCAGAAAUAAUUUUGUGGUCAGCUUCAGCCAUUCCUUUCGAUAAAUCACCAACCUGUCUCGGUUGAAAGAAAGGAAGGACCUCAAAAAAGCUAGACUUCAUAACAGCCUCCUCAACAGAUAAUAUAGGUAGUUCCAGAUUUUCUGUAUGAUAAUCAAUUACUGCAUGUUCUGCAGCCUCAUUUGCAUGUUUCUGUGUAUCUGCAACCUGAAAAGAGUAAUUCCAUGAUCAAAACAGUUCUGACACCAUUACAGUCAUCAUGAAAAUGUGUUGCUAAACAAGAAUACAAAGUCAUGGAAAUUACCACAAGGGCAACUCGGUGACCAAAACACUCAGCAAGUCCAUCUGCAAAUAAAGGUUCUGUAUAAGAAAAGGCUCCAGCACCUAUAUUCGCCCCGCCCUCUGGGAUGUCUUUGGAAGAAAUAAGUGCAAAGACUCCAUCUGGUAAUGAUUUUGUCCUGAAUGUGAUAUCUUUUAUGCGUGCUAAGGGCUUUGUACUGUAAAUGAAUGCUCCAUACAGGCAAUUUACUGGAGAAGGAAUGUCGUCCACAUAAACAGCCUCUCCUGUAUAUUUGGCUAGAUAAAUAAGGUAUGCAGUUGGAUUUACAUAAACUUGCAACAUUUAAUUAAUAGAAAUAAUAGAAAGCCAACAAAAGAAAUUUCACGGUUAUGUACUCUACAAAAUUUAACCAACAUCAACUAAAUGACAGUUCACUGUCUGCUAUUUGUUCAUGGAAUUCAUAAAUGAGAGAGAGAGACACACUCACACAGAGAGAUGAUGUUGUCAAUAUAUGAAGUUCAGUCAUAAAUUAGGAUGAAAGAAAUAUAAAAUAUUUAGCAUGUUAGCAAAUGUCAUUUGAACUUCAAACCCCUCCAUGAUUUUAGGCUUCUUGUACAACAGUUCAUGUUCCAAAUCAGCUAAUUAUUUCCUUGUCCAUCCCCAGUAGCAGAAGAAAGUGGAAGAUAAAUACUUCUUAUUAGGGAAUCUUUUCUUCCAGAAGUAUUUCCUUCUUCGCCUUCUUUUUCCCAGACAUACAAAAUGUUUCAUAAGUAAUAGGUCAAAGUGACAUCUCACGAACCAGAGGCUUGGAUGGAAGCUUCCAACUUUGUGAUUGGCUGCCCAACUGGAUCAUAUUCUUUACUUGACUUCAAAACCUGAUGACCUGACAUUAGAAAUGUUAAAUGUUUCCCAUCAUCAAACUGUCCAUAAGUCUGUUUUCCAUUAGAAUCCUUGGGCAUCAAAGAAUUCUUGCCCCAACCAAACCAUCCAUUAGAAAUGUCAGCAGUCUCAGUCAAGGAACUAAAGAACUUGAAAAGAAAACCAACAGCCAAACUUAACCGGUAACCAGGAUCUGUAAUAUCAUCAUCAGGUGCAAUGGUGCCUCGUAACAAUUUGACAACUUCAUAUAGAACUUCAUUAGUCAACAAUUUCCCAGUCAAAAAUUCUUCAGAUUUCCAUGCCCUGAUUACUUGCCUUUUCCCGCAAGCACCAAAAGCCAAUUUACAGUGGUUUAUCAUAAGUUUAUCAGAACUUCUACAGGGAGAAACCUCCACCAUGAAAGCAGCAUUUAGAUAAGCCAAUGCAUUUCCAGAGGGUCUUGAUGCAGCACGAUAUGUUUCAAAGAGCAACUUGCCAUUGAAUCUAGAAGAAAUAUCUAUACUUGGAGAACACUGUGGAAUUUUAACGCUCAAAAGAACACUGUUGGAAUCCAGUGGAGGCCUUUCAAGAAACUCUUCCAACCUAAGCUUUUCACACCUCAGACCGUUCAUUAUUUCUACCACUGUACCCACAACAAGCAGUAUCGUAGUAAUAUCUGAAGGAAACUGCUUCCUCUGUGCCAUUACUAAAUUUCCUCCUAUGCUGGCUGAAUUCCUUAUGAACCUUGUAGCAACCUUCUCCAUGUGAUCUGCAAUUUUUUUGAACACAACGGCACCUUGAGUGGGAUGCUCACCUCCAUUCCCUUCCUUCAAAGCUUCAAUAACUUUAGAAAUUGUCACAGCUGCUCCAAUUUCAAUCCCCGUCUUAUCUCUCUUAAUCCUUGAUAGCUCAGGAAUAUAUCUUAUAUCUAUGUAUUUAUCAUAAUCUCCUAGUUCCUUAAAAUACCCCAUACCUGUAUUACCCACAACUAACUUCAUUGAGGUGCCAUUAUCAGCCUUACUGGAUUCCAAUAUGCUUUGGAGAUUCUUGACGCUAACAGGAGUGUGCCAACAAAAUCUUCCGUGGUCUAGAAUCACAGUGGACCUUGUUUCCCUCUUGAGAAAUUCUGGGAAUGUGCAAGUCUGAUCAUUAUUUUUAUAUAAAGGUAACCUGCUUAGCUUUAUUUCCUUUGUUUCUCCUUUUUUCCAGAAGGAGUUAAACCCCAAAUCCUCGAUAUCAACAUCUGAAGCAAAACUUUUACAGACAUCAACAAUUGGUCGAUAACCAGUACAACGGCAAAGAUUUCCAGUAAUUGCAUUUUCAGCUUCCGACACUGUCAGUUUGGAGAACCCUGGGAAAGGCUGUGGCCGGUUGGUCUUAUCAGCAUUUACAAGAGCUGC